rnacentral:rRNA from 1 species
UACGUAGGGUGCGAGCGUUGUCCGGAAUUAUUGGGCGUAAAGAGCUCGUAGGCGGUUUGUUGCGUCUAUCGUGAAAACCUGCAGCUUAACUGUGGGCUUGCGGUGGAUACGGGCAGACUUGAGUUCGGUAGGGGAGACUGGAAUUCCUGGUGUAGCGGUGAAAUGCGCAGAUAUCAGGAGGAACACCGAUGGCGAAAGGCAGAUCUCUGGGCCGUAACUGACGCUGAGACGCGAAAGCG